rnacentral:rRNA from 1 species
UACGGAGGGUGCAAGCAUUAAUCGGAUUUAUUGGGCGUAAAGGGCGCGUAGGCGGGCAUGUAAGUCAGAUGUGAAAUUCCGGAGCUCAACUCCGGAACUGCAUUUGAAACUGUGUGUCUAGAGGGUAGGGGGAGAAAAUAGAAUUCCACAAGUAGCGGUGAAAUGCGUAGAUAUCUGGAGGAACACCGGUGGCGAAGGCGGCAUCCUGGACCGGUAUUGACGCUGAGGCGCGAAAGCUAGGGGAGCAAACGGG